rnacentral:rRNA from 1 species
UCUGAUCUCAGAUCAAGCAAGAAGACCCGCCGAAUUUAAGCAUAUCAAUAAGC